rnacentral:tRNA from 1 species
GCCUGGGUGGCUCAGUCGGUUGAGCGUCCGACUUCGGCUCGGGUCACGAUCUCGCAGUUGAUGAGUUCGAGCCCCGCUUCGGGCU